UACGUAGGGGGCGAGCGUUGUCCGGAUUUACUGGGCGUAAAGGGCGCGUAGGCGGUUUCGUAAGUUUGGAGUGACAGUGCUCGGCUUAACUGAGCAAGGCCUCUGAAAACUGCGGGACUUGAGGACCAGAGAGGGACAUAGAAUUCCGGGUGGAGUGGUGAAAUGCGUAGAUAUCCGGAGGAAUACCAAAGGCGAAGGCAGUGUCCUGGAGGGUUACUGACGCUGAGGCGCGAAAGCUAGGGGAGCGAACAGG
rnacentral:misc_RNA from 1 species